AUGAGACCUCACCAACCAUCAGCCGCCUUCAGGAGACUCACCCAACAGAGAAGGACCUCACCAACCAUCAGCCGCCCUCAGGAGACUCACCCAACAGAGAAGGACCUCACCAACCAUCAGCCGCCUUCAGGAGACUCACCCAACAGAGAAGGACCUCACCAACCAUCAGCCGCCUUCAGGAGACUCACCCAACAGAGAAGGACCUCACCAACCAUCAGCCGCCUUCAGGAGACUCACCCAACAGAGAAGGACCUCACCAACCAUCAGCCGCCUUCAGGAGACUCACCCAACACAGAAGGACUUCACCAACCAUCAGCCGCCUUCAGGAGACUCACCCAACAGAGAAGGACUUCACCAACCAUCAGCCGCCUUCAGGAGACUCACCCAACAGAGAAGGACCUCACCAACCAUCAGCCGCCUUCAGGAGACUCACCCAACAGAGAAGGACCUCACCAACCAUCAGCCGCCUUCAGGAGACUCACCCAACAGAGAAGGACCUCACCAACCAUCAGCCGCCUUCAGGAGACUCACCCAACAGAGAAGGACCUCACCAACCAUCAGCCGCCUUCAGGAGACUCACCCAACAGAGAAGGACCUCACCAACCAUCAGCCGCCUUCAGGAGACUCACCCAACAGAGAAGGACCUCACCAACCAUCAGCCGCCUUCAGGAGACUCACCCAACAGAGAAGGACCUCACCAACCAUCAGCCGCCUUCAGGAGACUCACCCAACAGAGAAGGACCUCACCAACCAUCAGCCGCCUUCAGGAGACUCACCCAACAGAGAAGGACCUCACCAACCAUCAGCCGCCUUCAGGAGACUCACCCAACAGAGAAGGACCUCACCAACCAUCAGCCGCCUUCAGGAGACUCAUCCAACAGAGAAGGACCUCACCAACCAUCAGCCGCCUUCAGGAGACUCACCCAACAGAGAAGGACCUCACCAACCAUCAGCCGCCUUCAGGAGACUCACCCAACAGAUAAGGACUCACAUAAACUUAAGGGGUCUGCCCCUCCCUGCCACCCCGGGCCACACACACAGCAGGUGUUGAGCUUCAGGCAAGUGAGCAAAGCUUCAUCUGUAUUCACAGCCACUCCCCCGAGUGCUCCCAUUCCCACUGGAGCUCCGUCAGAUCAGCGGUGGCCGUGGAGUCUCAUAGCCCCCAGAACCCUAUUGUGAACUGCGAAUGUGAGGGAUCUAGGCUGCGUGCUGCUUAUGAGAAUCUAAUGCCAGAUGAUCUGUCACUGACUCCCAUCACCCCCAGAUGGGACCAUCUAGUUGUAGAAAAACAAGCUCAAGACUCCCACUUAUUCUACAUUAUGGUGAGUUGUAUCAUUAUUUCAUUAUAUGUUACAAUGUAGUCAUAACGGAAAUGAAGUACUCAACAAAUGUGAUGCGCUUGAAUCCUUCCCACACCACCCCUCACCCCAUCCAUGGAAAAAUUACCUUCCGUGAAACCUGGUCCAUGGUGCCAAAAAGGUUGGGGACUGCUGUCUUAUGACAUCAUAGAUUCAUGGAAUUCUUUUAUAGGCAGGUUCCUUAGGGGAAACUGAAGCUGUUUCCUCAUUUUCAGGAAAUGUAGGAAAGAUUAGGAAAUCGAGGCUCAGGCCAUUAGCAGUGGCUAACACAAGUUCCAGGUCAGUAUUGCUUCUAUAAGCCCUGGUCUCCACAAGAGAAAAGGCUAGUCAAGUCUACCACUUGAAGUCCCCUAGUCAGAUACAAAGAAAGGAUCCAAGAUCCAAGCUGAUUUACGGUUAACUCAUUUGGGGAAUUCACAAUGCUCGAAAAAGCAAGGAGAAAGCAACGCAAGACUGUACACACUACAGCAGAGUCUUAACGAACAGCAGCACCUUCUUCAGAGUCUCACUGGCCACUGAUGUGUGACUCCCUCCCCUGGCUUCCCCCAUCCCAAGCUUUCAGCAUGGAGACCCACGUGAGACCCGUGGGAGAGCUGCGUGGAGCCUGGGAACAGUAUUUAGUCUCCUUCCUGUUGGGGCUUUUACAUUUAAAAAUGCAAUUUCAGCUGGCACAGUGGCUCACUUCUGUAAUCGCAGCACUUUGGGAGGUCAAGGCGGGCAUAUCACCGAGAUCAGCAGUUUGAGACCAGCUUGGCCAACAAGGUGAAACCCAGUCUGUACUAAAAAAAAAAAAAAAUACGCACACAUGCACAUAUAUAUACACACACACACGCGCGCGCACACACACACACACACAUUAGCCGGGUGCGGUGGCAGGUGCCUGUAAUCCCAGCUACUCAGGAGGCUGAGGCAGGAGAAUAGCUUGAACUCAGGAGGUGGAGGUUGCAGUGAGCUGAGAUAGUGCCACUGCACUCCAGCCUGGGCAACAUGGUGAGAGCUUGUCUCUAUUUUAAAAAGAUGAAAAAGGCCGGGCGUGGUGGCUCACACCUGUAAUCCCAGCACUUUGGGAGGCCGAGGCGGGUGGAUCAUGAGGUCAAGAGAUUGAGACCAUCCUGGCCAACAUGGUGAAACCCCAUCUUUACUAAAAAUACAAAAAUUCUGGGUGUGGUGGCACACGCCCAUAGUCCCAGCUACUCAGGAGGCUGAGGCAGAAGAAUUGCUUGAACUCAGGAGGCGGAGGUUGCGGUGAGCCGAGAUCGCGCCAUUGCACUCCAGCCUGGGUGACAGAGUGAGACUCCGUCAAAAAAAAAAAAAAAGAAAUGCAAUUUUAUUCUUACAACGUUCUGGAAGCAAGAAGGUGGUUCUGAGCAUACAAAGGAAAAUGUUUUAUAAAGAAAACACGAGAAAGCAACAAGAUGUUGGCCGCUUUGCGACUGCAACCCUUAACAAGUUUCAGUUAUAUAUUCAUAUAUAUAUAUAUUCAGAAAUAUAAGGUAUAUUAUUCUACUUAUUUUGUUCCAGAAUAAUAUGCAUGCCAUUAUGUUAGCUUUUUCCAUAGCAGGCCAUUUUUCUCUGGGUAUGGUGAUACCUCUCCCACUGCAGCUGAGCCUGAGCCUCAGUAGCUUCGAAUGUGAAUAUAACAUUUUUGUGAACUUGGUCACACUACUGCGUAUAGAAUCUGCUUUCGUUUCUCCCAGGGUUAGCAAGAGACUUUAAUUGCUUCUUUGCACUCUCCCCAUGCUCAGGAAUCACAGGGAAGCCGUAUCGUUGUAGGCGUUAGUUCUUUAUAAGCGCUCGAUCUGCUUCACACUCCACUUGUGUGCCGCCUUUGAAGUCUCGAGAAAUCUCCUAACUGGCAGGAACUGCCAGGCCCGAACAGUGCAAAGGAAAUCACACCCACCGUGGCCCCACCAAAGCACAGGCCUGGUGCUCAC
ensembl:lncRNA